rnacentral:snoRNA from 1 species
GCUUUAAAGUGAUGAGAAACUUUUUUUCAAUUUAUUUAAACAGUUAUCCCUGUCUUAAUAAACUAUGUCGAGAAUACCUAAUCUGAAGAAUUC